AUUGAACGCUGGCGGAAUGCUUUACACAUGCAAGUCGAACGGCAGCACGGGGCAACCUGGUGGCGAGUGGCGAACGGGUGAGUAAUACAUCGGAACGUGCCCAAUCGUGGGGGAUAACGUAGCGAAAGUUACGCUAAUACCGCAUACGAUCUACGGAUGUAAGCGGGGGAUCGCAAGACCUCGCGCGAUUGGAGCGGCCGAUGUCAGAUUAGGUAGUUGGUGGGGUAAAGGCUUACCAAGGCGACGAUCGGUAGCUGGUCUGAGAGGAUGAUCAGCCACACUGGGACUGAGACACGGCCCAGACUCCUACGGGAGGCAGCAGUGGGGAAUUUUGGACAAUGGGGGCAACCCUGAUCCAGCCAUGCCGCGUGAGUGAAGAAGGCC
rnacentral:rRNA from 1 species